GGUGCUGUAGUUCAAUGGUAGAGCAUCUGCUUUACGACCAGAGGGGCCCAGGUUCCAUCCCUGGCAGCAUCU